rnacentral:rRNA from 1 species
CCUACGGGAGGCAGCAGUGGGGAAUCUUGCGCAAUGGGCGAAAGCCUGACGCAGCCAUGCCGCGUGAAUGAUGAAGGUCUUAGGAUUGUAAAAUUCUUUCACCGAGGACGAUAAUGACGGUACUCGGAGAAGAAGCCCCGGCUAACUUCGUGCCAGCAGCCGCGGUAAUACGAAGGGGGCUAGCGUUGCUCGGAAUUACUGGGCGUAAAGGGAGCGUAGGCGGAUAGUUUAGUCAGAGGUGAAAGCCCAGGGCUCAACCUUGGAAUUGCCUUUGAUACUGGCUAUCUUGAGUACGGAAGAGGUAUGUGGAACUCCGAGUGUAGAGGUGAAAUUCGUAGAUAUUCGGAAGAACACCAGUGGCGAAGGCGACAUACUGGUCCGUUACUGACGCUGAGGCUCGAAAGCGUGGGGAGCAAACAGGAUUAGAUACCCUGGUAGUCCACGCUGUAAACGAUGAGUGCUAGUUGUCGGCAUGCAUGCAUGUCGGUGACGCAGCUAACGACAUUAAGUACACUCCGCCGUCGGGGUAGGUACGGUCGGCGAAGAAGUUAAAACUAACAAAUAGAAGUUAGUACGGCGUGCCGAACGGACGACCGACCGAGGGAGGUAGG